rnacentral:snRNA from 1 species
UUAUCAGGUUAAUUUCUGAUACGUCCUCUAUCUGAGGACACAUAUAGUUAAAUGCAUUUUUGCAAGCAGGACUUGGACUAGGCACUAACUCCUUCUACUCCACGCAUCAACCUGGCAUUGCAGUACUUCCAGGAAUGGCGC